AGUCUCUGCUCUCUGUCUGCAGGUGUCCUGUGUGAUGUUCAGCUGGUGGAAUCAGGGGGAGAUAUGAGACAACCCAGAGGGUCUCUGAGCCUCUCCUGAAAAGCCUCUGGAUUCACCUUCUCUGACUAUGGGAUGGACUGGUUCCGCCAGGCCCCAGGGAAGGGACUGGAGUGGCUGGCAGUUAUAUGGUAUGAUGGCAGUCAGACAUACUACGUGGAAUCUGUGAAGGGCCGGUUCACCAUCUCCAGAGAUAACUCCAAGAACACACUGUAUCUGCAAAUGAACAGCCUGAGAACUGAGGACACAGCUGUGUAUUACUGUACUCUAGACUUAGAAGGUCCUGGUGGAACCACCUGA